rnacentral:rRNA from 1 species
UACGUAGGGUGCGAGCGUUAAUCGGAAUUACUGGGCGUAAAGUGUGCGCAGGCGGCAAAGCAAGUCGAGUGUGAAAGCCCCGGGCUUAACUUGGGAAUUGCGCUCGAAACUGGUGGACUUGAGUCUGAGAGAGGGAAGCGGAAUUCCUGGUGUAGAGGUGAAAUUCGUUGAUAUCAGGAGGAACACCGGCGGCGAAGGCGGCUUCCUGGCUCAGUACUGACGCUCAUGUUCGAAAGCGUGGGGAGCGAACAGG